rnacentral:lncRNA from 1 species
UUGGGCAGAUUGUUUUUGAUGUACUCUUUGCAUGAUUGUGUUGUUUUAAUGAAGUGGUGCAAGAAAAAAAGAAAAAGAAAAAAAAAAAGAAAAGAAAAAAAAAAAAAAGAAAAAAAAAGAAAAAAAAAGAGAGAAAAUAAAGGUUGCACCAAGGUUGAAUUAGUAUACAUGCAUUGAGUUGUUUGAUGAUUGUUGCCCAUAGUUUAGUUGGAAGUUGCUCUUCAUAUGUUUAGAAUUCUUUGGGUGUGAUUUGAUUCGAGCAUGCACGAUAUUUGAUCUUCAAUGUUUGAGCUUAGGACCCCUAGGAUCUUGCCUACAUCAUUGAUAGUCCUUAGCCCCAUUACAACCAAAGAAGAAAGACCUCUUUGAGCCAUAAUGUGACUGCGAAAUAUCAUGACUAAUUGGAGUUUCUUC